rnacentral:rRNA from 1 species
AGUGAACGCUGGCGGUAGGCCUAACACAUGCAAGUCGAACGGCAGCACAGUAAGAGCUUGCUCUUACGGGUGGCGAGUGGCGGACGGGUGAGGAAUACAUCGGAAUCUACUUUUUCGUGGGGGAUAACGUAGGGAAACUUACGCUAAUACCGCAUACGACCUACGGGUGAAAGCAGGGGAUCUUCGGACCUUUCGCGAUUGAAUGAGCCGAUGUCGGAUUAGCUAGUUGGCGGGGUAAAGGCCCACCAAGGCGACGAUCCGUAGCUGGUCUGAGAGGAUGGUCGGCCACACUGAAAGUAGAAAACGGACAGAACUCCAAGGGGGGGAGGGGGUGGGAAAUUUUGGAAAAGGGGCGAAGGCCUAAUCCACACCUCCCGGGGGGGGAAAAAGGGCCUUGGGGUUGAAAACCCCUUUUGUUGGGAAAAAAAAGCGGGGAAUUAAGCCCCCGCUUUUCGGAGGGACCCAAAAAGAAAAGCACGGCUAAAUUUGGU